GCGGCGGGAGAGGCCGCUGGAGCUGGGGAAGGAGGGCCUGGCGGCGGGAGAGGCCGCUGGAGCUGGGGAAGGAGGGCCUGGCGGCGGGAGAGGCCGCUGGAGCUGGGGAAGGAGGGCCUGGCGGCGGGAGAGGCCGGGGCAACCCCGGGAGGGGCUGGCGGGCGUGAGCUUUCCGGAGGGAGCUGCUGUGUGUUGCCAGGCGCUGCUCGCCUGCUGCGGCGCUCCCGGGUGUUGCGCGGGUCUGUGCGGAGCGGCGCGGCUGCGGCCUGGAAGCCUGUUGGUGUUAGCCCGGCAGCUUUCUCGCCAGCCUGUUUUGCUCUGGGGUUAAUGCCGCCCGUCACGUAGCGGGAGCUGUUGCAGCCUUCGCGCAAAGAAAGUGAUGUCACGUUGUUAACCUGUAGCUCGUUCUUCAUUUCCGCAAGAAGCCUGAAUACUCACUUGCGGCGUCCUUUCUCUCCUGGCAAAACCCUCGCACCUUUCGCGUCGUCCUAAGGUCUGCAGACACCCCUGUGACUAGAGUGUGAACGUGUGCAGCUUGCGGUUUUGACAAAAGACGUUUGAAAUCAGAAAGUGCACCUUAGCUAGUUUGUUUAUUGUUUCUUGUAGAUUUACCUGCCAGCAACUGCAGAAGAUUAUUUAAUUUAAGAAGGAACGUCGACGUGUUGCAUCAAUGAACCUGCAUCUCCCUGAGGAAAUCACAACGUUGUAUGCUGCUCUGCCUGGAGGUUUUGAAGCCCAGAUUGCUGGCCCGGUGGGUGUGUUUCUGGCAGAGGUAUACAGGCCCCGGCUCUGCCCAGCAGCUGCAUCAGAAGUAAGUUAGAUCAGAAUAUAACUGGCACACAUGCCUAAAACAGACACAGCCUGUCAAACUUCAGGCUGUCCUAAAAGGGACCAAAGUGGAAAUGAGUCCUAUAGCCUGGGAAUUGAAGCUAACCAAGAAAAUGAAAAAAAAAAAACAACCUGAAGAAAAUGCUGCAAAGAUUGGCUGUCUUAUUGAUGGUGUAUCUCGUGCUUCAGAAUAUGAGUGGUUACGGUUGGUAACGUGAGCACAGUCAGAGCAAUAGUCCUCAUGCCUCACUCCUCUGAAGUGUCCACCAUGUUUGGAGAAGCAGCAGCUCAUUUGCAGCUUGAGGAGCCUUGUUCUGUGGGUCUUGGCUUUAAAUGCAUUUAUUGGUUCAUGACUCAGUGGGACUUAAUGGAAAAUCAUUUUAAGUCACAUAAGUGGAUGAAAGAAACUUACAAGCACCUUAUCUGUACAAGUGUGUUUAUGGAAACAGCCAUCAGAGGAGACCAUUUCAGUGCACAACGUAUUCACCGUAUUGUGAAACUGAGCGGAUAAGAAAUCUUCACAUAGCUUGCCAUUAUCAGGAUGUGUUUAAAUGUCUGCACAGAUUUUACCAGUCCUGUGACAUCUAGACCCUUUAGGGUGACUGGCUUCAGCUCCAUCAUGACAUCCUAACAUAUACUGUGUUGGUGGCGAUGUACUAAUCACCAAACCAUGCUGAAGCAUGGAGCUGGUGUACACGGGUCAGUCUAGAGAAGAGUUGAAAGAGCACACAUGGAAAAUCACAGAACUUCUACAUCCCCCCAUAUUCAUUUUGGGAUCGAGUACUCUAGACAUCAGUUGAAUGGACAUCACAGACAGAUCCAUCAGAAAAAAACCGAGAAAUUAGAACCAAAUGGAAGAGAAAACAAGUUUUAAUAUAAUCCUGUGUGCUCCAACACAAAAGCAACGAGAAACGAAGAUUCAAGUUAAUUUGCACGUAGUUCCUAUGGUGAGAAGCCUUUCAAAUGUGAGAUCGGGUCUUACGCCUCCACAGAUGGAAGCUCCCUGCAGCAGCUCAUCUGUACAUGUGCUACUGAGAGGCCCUACAAGUGUUGACUGUUCAUGUAGCUGCAUUCACUAGAAGAGCUUGGACUUCACAUAUGCUGACAUCACACUGUUCUUCUGUUGGCAAACAACUUCUCUGAAUACACUAAGAAAUACCAUCUGGGUUCAGGAACCUCAUUAACCAGUUCCAGGCCCACCUUUACUCUCAAAUAAUUUCCUGUGGAACAUUAGGUUCUUCAUGCUUAAAACUUCUACCAGAGCAUCCCAGCAAAUACAGAAGCUGUUGGCAUUGUCAGACUUUUGUGCUGAAAGCCAGGGGUUAUCUGGAAGAAGAGAAGGAAUGGUCCCUAUGUGGCAAUUAAAGCAGUUAGAGUGGUCUUCCCAAAAAGCUUGGUGUGUGUUAUGGUACAGGUGGUAACUCCAAUGUACAGAGAGGAAUGUGGAGAUUUGUGUUGCACAAAGGGUGGACAUUUUGAUUUUUGUUCCGAUUACCUUUUGCUGAUAUAUUCCGCUUACUUACUAAUGAAGAGUUAGAAAUUUCAAGGCUGAAUCUAUUGAAAUGUACCAGAGCUGACAGUAAGUUCUACAGGUGGUUUCUGUUCUACAUCUCACUUUUAAUACAGGUCUCUAUAUAAAACAGUAAAUUACUCAAGGAUAUCUACCAGUGCUGUAGCACUCAUAGUGUGGUUAAAGAACUCAUUACAUUUCUUCAUGGUUAUUUUUUAUAACAAAAUGUGUCUAUUAUCAUAAGCUAAUCCAAUGUUGAAAUAAAAAGUAUUGAAAUAUGACAUUAAAUAAACUUGUCUUUGAAAUUCA